rnacentral:rRNA from 1 species
ACGAACGCUGGCGGCGUGCUUAACACAUGCAAGUCGAACGGUGAAGCCCUUCGGGGUGGAUCAGUGGCGAACGGGUGAGUAACACGUGGGUAACCUGCCCUGCACUCUGGGAUAACUCCGGGAAACCGGGGCUAAUACCGGAUACGAGCCUGGUCCGCAUGGACCGGGUUGGAAAGUUUUUCGGUGCAGGAUGGACCCGCGGCCUAUCAGCUUGUUGGUGGGGUAAUGGCCCACCAAGGCGAUGACGGGUAGCCG